rnacentral:lncRNA from 1 species
GUGACUGUGGUGGGGAAGGAACACAGAUGGUGCUGCGAGGCCGUCUCCAGACUGUGGAAGCCACAAGCCACUGGCGUCUGCUUCUGUGGAGAAACAAACUUCAGCCACCCACGGGCGCCCCCGCAAGGGCCGGGCUGAUUCCUCGAGAGUGGCUGGCGCUGGGCCUGCACAGCACUCUUCCCUACUCUACGCUUACCUUCCUCCCCUCCCCUAUCCUCUGGGGCAAUUCAGAAACGGAAGACAUGGUGGAUUGAAGGCAGCACUGACACCCGCUCCAUGCAGUCCCGGGAUGGCCACCAAGUGAGGGAGCAGCAAAAAAGAGAAGACGCAGGGAAGGAAUUACCUAGAGAUCCCCAGGACUGCCACGCUGGGCCAGACUCACAGGACACUACUUCCCUGAAUUAUUCGCUUCUAGAACUAUGGAUGAUGGGUUCAUCUAACCCUUCCUUGAUUUGUUUGUUUUCACUAUGUUAUUUAUAAAGAUAAUGGGUUGUAUGAUAAAUACUUCUUUUUUCUUUUUUUCUCUCUCUCUCUUUUUUUUUUUUUUUUUUUUU